rnacentral:lncRNA from 1 species
GGAAAGACCUGAAAACCAGUCUCUUCUGCUUCCCUUGGACACCCCAGUGUUCAGCCCUUGGUUGCUGAUGGGGUCAGUGCCAGAGGCCUCCAGAUGGUCAGCCUCCCACUACCCAGGCUGCUGCCGUGAUGGCAAAGGGAAUGAGGCAACUUUUCCAGAACAAGAAAAUGAUACAUCCAGGAUUUGA